AUUAGUGCAUGCUCUGAGUUUGUAGUUCAGAGCAGUAAUUUUGAAGAUUUAAACAGUUCAGAAGAAGAAUUGCUCCUGUUAAAUUAAGCAGCUCUAAGAUUAAAGCAUCUUUAAAAGAUAUCUCUUCAUUUAAAGAGCAUAAUGAAUCCUUUGUUUCCUUUAAAGUAAAGAAAAGGAGAUCGUCAUGUCGUGAUGAACAAUCUAAUGAUUCUUCGUCCUCAUCUAC